AUCUUAACCUGGUCACUCUGGGAGUGGCGCAUCUGGAGGGAGACGGUGCUGGAGGUACUAAAGGGGCGGGCCAUCCCCAUUUCUCUCUGGAUUUUGAUAGGUAGCAUUAUUGGAGGGCUUCUGCUAUUGGCCCUCAUCAUCUUCGCAAUGUGGAAGCUGGGGUUCUUCACUCGUAAACAGAUAAAGGACGAGGAACUGGAGGACUGAGCACCUCGCCGCCAUGAUGUCAGUCAAUGGAUACAGUAUCUGUGACAACCAGAGUCCACUUCGUACCCAUCCCCAUGGCAACGACCUGKACAGAGACAGCUCCGCCCCCCCAGCAAUAAAAACAGAUGCCUUCCCUGUCUUCUAAAUCAUGCCCCCACAAAAAGAACACACAGCCGGUAUAGAUGAGCGUCGCCCAGUGUGUGUGUGAACUGUCAAAACCCCUAACACCACAUGGCACAGACUGCAUCUAUCAUCAGACACCCCAACAUCUUGUCUGUUUCWACAGGUGAACCCAUGGCUGUAGGGCUGUAGUUACACACCUGUUUAGAAACGUACAGCAGGAAGGACGUGAACAGGAGUUUUCUGCAGAGAUGUCCCAGACAGGAAAUAAUGCUGUACACCACGUGUCAAACUCAUUCCACGGAGGGCUGAGUGUCUGCAGGUUCACUCCACCCUUGUACUUGAUUGAUGAAUUAAGGUCACAAAUUAGUGAGGGACUCCACUCAACAGGUUGUCUAGGUCUUAAUUGAAUGGACAAAACAAAAAACCUACAGACACACAGCCCUCCGUGGAAUGAGUUUGACACUCCUGGUGCAAUGUGACUUGGUAUGAUGUUCAAUGACUGCAGACUUCAAACA